UGGAAGACUGCCGUGUCACAGCCUACCUCAGACAAUACGUUGCCGUGCCUACCUCAGACAAUACGUUGCCGUGCCUACCUCAGACAAUACGUUUUUCUUUAGAGACAUUGAAAGACUGGUGGUCUUCUGGACGGGAUGGUCUGUUGGCAGGGGCAAUGCUGACUGUACUUUGAAACUCCCCCUAGGGACAAGAAUGUAUGACACCUUCAAAGAAGCUAUGAAAGCAGCGCUGAAAUAAAGCAAUUAUGGUUUUGGCUUGAUCUAGUGUUGUUUUCUGCAAGUUCAAUGCAGUAUAGUCAACAAUUUCAGUGUUUCAGACGGUGACCAGAGUUCCAGUUGUUCAAUGAAUAAACUAUGCAAUGAGAAA